GACGAACGCUGGCGGCGUGCCUAAUACAUGCAAGUCGAACGCAGUGGGGACGGGUGAGUAACACGUGGGUAACCUCCCAUCAGAGGGGAUAACACUUGGAAACAGGUGCUAAACCGCUACUGAUGGAUGGACCCGCGGUGCAUUAGCUCGUUGGGGCGGUAACGGCUCACCAAGGCCAAGAUGCUUAGGCGGCCUGAGAGGGUGAUAGGCCACACUGGGACUGAGACACGGUCCAGACUCCUACGGGAGGCAGCAGUAGGGAAUCUUCGGCAAUGGACGAAAGUCUGACCGAGCAACGCCGCGUGAAUGAAGAAGGUUUUCGGGUCGUAAAACUCUGUUGUUGGGGAAGCGGUAUCUGACCAGAAAGCCACGGCUAACUACGUGCCAGCAGCCGCGGUAAUAC
rnacentral:rRNA from 1 species